UGAGUAAUACAUCGGAACGUGUCUUCUAGUGGGGGAUAACUGCCCGAAAGGGCAGCUAAUACCGCAUGAGACCUGAGGGUGAAAGCGGGGGAUCGCAAGACCUCGCGCUGGAAGAGCGGCCGAUGUCCGAUUAGCUAGUUGGUGAGGUAAAGGCUCACCAAGGCGACGAUCGGUAGCUGGUCUGAGAGGACGACCAGCCACACUGGGACUGGGACACGGCCCAG
rnacentral:rRNA from 1 species